rnacentral:rRNA from 1 species
GACGAACGCUGGCGGCGUGCCUAACACAUGCAAGUCGAACGAAGCAUUUAAGUGAAUCCCUUCGGGGUGAAGCUUUUAUGACUUAGUGGCGGACGGGUGAGUAACGCGUGAGUAACCUGCCUUUCAGAGGGGGAUAACAGUUGGAAACGACUGCUAAUACCGCAUAACGUAUUGAGAUCGCAUGACCUUGAUACCAAAGCUGAGGCGCUGAAAGAUGGACUCGCGUCUGAUUAGCUAGAUGGCGGGGUAACGGCCCACCAUGGCGACGAUCGGUAGCCGACCUGAGAGGGUGAUCGGCCACAUUGGGACUGAGACACGGCCCAAACUCCUACGGGAGGCAGCAGUGGGGAAUAUUGGGCAAUGGGGGGAACCUGACCCAGCAACGCCGCGUGGAGGAAGAAGGUUUUCGGAUCGUAAACUCCUGUCCUCAGGGAAGAGCAGAAGACGGUACCUGAGGAGGAAGCCCCGGCUAACUACGUG